rnacentral:ribozyme from 1 species
AGUAAUACUGUACUGAUAUCGGUACGGAUCUGAAGCAUCUCGAAGGAUAAUAUAGACUCUCUAUACCCUACCCCGUCUCAUUACGUCCACGGUGUAUGGUAAGAUAUCGCUCCAAACAUCUGAGCUUGGGUAUACGGGGAAUCCCAACCCGUUGGGAAGAUGGGUUAUAUGGCUAAGGGG